UGUGAUUUGUAUUGGCCGAAUUAUAACACAACAAUGAAAAUUGAAGAUUUUCAUAUAAAAAAUUGCGAAGAACGCGUCUUCAAAAACUUUACGUUGAGAACUUUUCUUAUAACUUCUGAAAAACAUCGAAAGGAAAAAGUCAUUAGUCACUUUCACUAUACUUCGUGGCCCGAUUUUGAUGUUCCUCUUUCCCCUAAAGGGCUUGUCGCAAUGAUCAACGUGAUUCAAAAAAUCGUGAACAGCAAAUUUAAAAAGUUUACCAAUUUAGUACAUUGCAGUGCUGGUAUCGGAAGAACUGGAACUUACAUAGCAAUAGAAGUUGGUAGAUUGGCAAUUUCACAGGGAAAAGAGUUUGAUUUAUAUAAAUUUGUAGAGGAAAUGAGACACCAAAGAGCUGGAAUGAUACAAACACCCGAGCAAUAUUUUUUUUGCUAUAAAGCAAUUUAUGCGGAAUAUGCCGUCGAAGAAUUAAUGGAA